rnacentral:rRNA from 1 species
UAAAUUGAGAGUUUGAUCCUGGCUCAGGAUGAACGCUGGCGGCGUGCCUAAUACAUGCAAGUCGAACGCACAGCGAAAGGUGCUUGCACCUUUCAAGUGAGUGGCGAACGGGUGAGUAACACGUGGAUAACCUACCUC